UACAGAGGGUGCAAGCGUUAAUCGGAAUGACUGGGCGUAAAGCGUGUGUAGGUGGUUAGAUAAGUUAGAUGUGAAAUCCCCGGGCUUAACCUGGGAACUGCGUUUAAGACUGUUUAACUAGAGUACUGUAGAGGGUAGUGGAAUUUCCAGUGUAGCGGUGAAAUGCGUAGAUAUUGGAAGGAACACCAGUGGCGAAGGCGGCGCACUGGACCAUUACUGACGCUGAUGCACGAAAGCUAGGGGAGCAAACAGG
rnacentral:rRNA from 1 species